rnacentral:rRNA from 1 species
GACGAACGCUGGCGGCGUGCCUAAUACAUGCGAGUCGAACGCUUUUUCUUUCACCGGAGCUUGCUCCACCGAAAGAAAAAGAGUGGCGAACGGGUGAGUAACACGUGGGUAACCUGCCCAUCAGAAGGGGAUAACACUUGGAAACAGGUGCUAAUACCGUAUAACAAGUAAAACCGCAUGGUUUUACUUUGAAAGGCGCUUUUGCGUCACUGAUGGAUGGACCCGCGGUGCAUUAGCUAGUUGGUGAGGUAACGGCUCACCAAGGCAACGAUGCAUAGCCGACCUGAGAGGGUGAUCGGCCACAUUGGGACUGAGACACGGCCCAAACUCCUACGGGAGGCAGCAGUAGGGAAUCUUCGGCAAUGGACGAAAGUCUGACCGAGCAACGCCGCGUGAGUGAAGAAGGUUUUCGGAUCGUAAAACUCUGUUGUUAGAGAAGAACAAGGAUGAGAGUAAAAUGUUCAUCCCUUGACGGUAUCUAACCAGAAAGCCACGGCUAACUACGUGCCAGCAGCCGCGGUAAUACGUAGGUGGCAAGCGUUGUCCGGAUUUAUUGGGCGUAAAGCGAGCGCAGGCGGUUUCUUAAGUCUGAUGUGAAAGCCCCCGGCUCAACCGGGGAGGGUCAUUGGAAACUGGGAAACUUGAGUGCAGAAGAGGAGAGUGGAAUUCCAUGUGUAGCGGUGAAAUGCGUAGAUAUAUGGAGGAACACCAGUGGCGAAGGCGGCUCUCUGGUCUGUAACUGACGCUGAGGCUCGAAAGCGUGGGGAGCAAACAGG